UUUAUAUAUAGGCUACUAUACUUUUAUGAGUAUAGAGCCCUUCAUACUCAUAAGUUGUUUUCAAUGAUAGAGCUUCCGAAUCGACGAUCCAUUCUGUUAAAUAUGAUCUAAAGUAUUUGAAACUUUUAGAAAAUUAAUUUCGUAGUUUUUCGAAAUCAUAAUAAAGUUCAUCAAGAAGGUAUAAAAUGAACAGUCAAAAUCAAACGACGUCUUAAAAAUGGAUGAUCAGAUCCUUCAAUUUAAGAUCAGAGUUAUUGAUCUUUAUCUAUAUAGUGAAUAGAAUCUUUUAUCAAAAAUUUAACCGAUUCUGAUUCUUUUACACCAUUAAACUAACAAAUAUCUCAUAUCGGCCGUUAAAAAUUAUCAAUUUUGUGACCUUUUGAUCGUAAGGUAAAUGAUGUCGAAAAAUUAUAAAAUUUGAUUUCUAUACGUUUUAAAAUAUCUAGAUAACGUUUAACGGUGUGGAUCGUCGAUUCGGAAGCUCUGUCAUCAAAAAUAACUUAUGAGUAUAAGGGCGAUCGUACUCAUAAGAGCAUAGUAGCUGGACUAUAUAUAUAUAUAUAUAUAUAUAGUGUGAGGCUACUAUGCUUCUGGCAACACGGAGCCUUCUGUGCUUCCAGAUCGUUUUUUAUGUUGCGACUUUCGAAUUAUCGAUUGGCUCCGUUAAACUUGAUCUAGAGUAUUUGAAGUACCUAGAAAAUAAAUUUUAUGAUUUUUCAUUAUCAUUUGCCUAAUGAUCGAAGGGGCUCAAAAUCAACUAAUUUUAAUGACCGUAGUGAGCCGCUUGCAAGUUUAACGGUGUAGAAAUAUCCAAAUCACGUGAAAUUUUAAUAGAAAAUUCUUUAUACUCCAUAAAACAAGAUUAAUAUCUUUGAUCUAAAAUUUUAAUGUUAUAUUAUCACGUUUUGUAGGAUUUUUAUUUUCAGCCGCUGAUUUUGAGUCCCUUCGUUCACUAGGCAAAUAAU
rnacentral:lncRNA from 1 species